UAAAUUUGAACAGGAGGGGGAUGAGAUGACGGAGCAGACUUUAGCUGCUGCUGCUGCUCUCUCUGGUACAGUUCCUCCUCUCACAUGUCAGUGAGGGGAAGUGCUUAGUUUUCUGCUCGUAAUAAAGAGUAUUUUGAAGAGGAGGCUGCAGGAUAGACAAACUUCCUCCUCUGCAUUACCUGCACUUCUACCUCCAGGGGAGCAGACAGACCAAGUUCAGAUGCAGCCAGCAGGGAGCUGGAGAGAAGACAGAGAGACGGGCUGAGAGCUGCUCCACUUCCUGCACUGCACAGGGGCUGCAUUGGAUCAGCAUCAGCUGUCUGUCUGUUAACCCAACGGCUGGAUCACCGUCCAGACAGCAGAGAAAGGCUGCAGAGCCAUCAGGCAGGAGCUGCUGCACAGCAGAUGUGGGGGAACAGGGAACCAAAGACAGUGAUCUGUAA